AUUGAACGCUGGCGGCAUGCCUUACACAUGCAAGUCGAACGGCAGCACGGGAGCAAUCCUGGUGGCGAGUGGCGAACGGGUGAGUAAUAUAUCGGAACGUGCCCAGUCGUGGGGGAUAACGUAGCGAAAGCUACGCUAAUACCGCAUACGAUCUAUGGAUGAAAGCGGGGGAUCGCAAGACCUCGCGCGAUUGGAGCGGCCGAUAUCAGAUUAGGUAGUUGGUGAGGUAAAGGCUCACCAAGCCGACGAUCUGUAGCUGGUCUGAGAGGACGACCAGCCACACUGGGACUGAGACACGGCCCAGACUCCUACGGGAGGCAGCAGUGGGGAAUUUUGGACAAUGGGCGCAAGCCUGAUCCAGCAAUGCCGCGUGCAGGAUGAAGGCCUUCGGGUUGUAAACUGCUUUUGUACGGAGCGAAAAGGCUUCCACUAAUACUGGGGGCUCAUGACGGUACCGUAAGAAUAAGCACCGGCUAACUACGUGCCAGCAGCCGCGGUAA
rnacentral:rRNA from 1 species